AGCGAACGCUGGCGGCAGGCUUAACACAUGCAAGUCGAGCGGGCGUAGCAAUACGUCAGCGGCAGACGGGUGAGUAACGCGUGGGAACGUACCUUUUGGUUCGGAACAACACAGGGAAACUUGUGCUAAUACCGGAUAAGCCCUUACGGGGAAAGAUUUAUCGCCGAAAGAUCGGCCCGCGUCUGAUUAGCUAGUUGGUGAGGUAACGGCUCACCAAGGCGACGAUCAGUAGCUGGUCUGAGAGGAUGAUCAGCCACAUUGGGACUGAGACACGGCCCAAACUCCUACGGGAGGCAGCAGUGGGGAAUAUUGGACAAUGGGCGCAAGCCUGAUCCAGCCAUGCCGCGUGAGUGACGAAGGCCCUAGGGUUGUAAAGCUCUUUUGUGCGGGAAGAUAAUGACGGUACCGCAAGAAUAAGCCCCGGCUAACUUCGUGCCAGCAGCCGCGGUAAU
rnacentral:rRNA from 1 species